rnacentral:rRNA from 1 species
AUUGAACGCUGGCGGCAGGCCUAACACAUGCAAGUCGAACGAGUGGCGGACGGGUGAGUAAUGUAUGGGAAACUGCCCGAUGGAGGGGGAUAACUACUGGAAACGGUAGCUAAUAACGCAUACCAUCGGCGGAGCCCAGAUGGGAUUAGCUAGUAGGUGGGGUAACGGCUCACCUAGGCGACGGUCCAUAGCUGGUCUGAGAGGAUGACCAGCCACACUGGGACUGAGACACGUCCCAGACUCCUACGGGAGGCAGCAGUGGGGAAUAUGGCACAAUGGGCGCAAGCCUGAUGCAGCCAUGCCGCGUGUAUGAAGAAGGCCUUCGGGUUGUAAAGUACUUUCAGCGAGGAGGCGUUACUCGCAGAAGAAGCACCGGCUAACUCCGUGCCAGCAGCCGCGGUAAUUC